rnacentral:lncRNA from 1 species
UCAUUAUUCAAUCCGCCAAUCAUUGUUUUUGAUCCAUCUGUGUAAAUCACGACACAAGUAAACUUUUUACUGUACGUUUAUUAUUCAAUUCCAUUUUUCUCCAAAAAAAUUUAGUAUGCACAUUUUUUUCAAAUUUGUGGCAUGCAAGUAAAGUAGAGCUCGAAUCUAAAACUCGAGUCUUAGAAAAAAUUAUAAUUGGAGCCAGUCUAGCCUCUAAGAUAGUAUGUGCCCUUUUUCUUCAAUUUGCAGCUUUUUUGUCAGACCUAAAAUUGAUUUAAUUUGUAAUGUUACCUAACUGGUGGUGAAGAAACAGCAGCCAUUACAUCAGAAAUCGCUAGUGCAGUUCAAGUAAAUUCAUGUAAAGCAAACCCUGAGAUACAAGUAAAAUUGAAAAUGUAAGAAAAUUAACUUACAUAUCUGAGCUUAUUGGAAGAUAAAGCAAUCAAAGAUGAUAAAUUUUUACUUGAAUUUCCAAUUAAGUUUGUUUCAAAGAAAUAAAUCAGUGAGAAGAUUUUUAUCUGUUCUAAUUAAUUUCUCAAAGACAAAAAGUUUAAUCCAAAGUGUAUGCCGAAAGUAAUUAUGAAGAAUGAUUAUGGUCUUUAGUGGCGCAUGAAAUCAAAGAUAUGGUCGACAUGAUAUUGACAAAUGCAAGGAUUUCUUUAAGCAUUUUAUUUAGCGAGUCUUCAAUGUAAUUACAUUUUAUACGGCAAAGUGAAUAAAAUAUUCUUUUAAAAAAAUUUCACUUUAAUCUUUUUAGAAUUUAUUCUUGUGGAAAUAAGGGAGGAUGGGUUUGUGUUUUUUCAAUUGAGUUUGAUAUAUUGAUUUCACAAAUAUUCAUGUCUUGUUUUUUGGUUGGUGCAUACUUUAAUGACUUUGUUUUGCGGUUCUUGUGUUGUAUGUACAUAUGUGCGUCUCAUUCUGAUUCUCACAACUCACAAAUGGCAUCGUUGUUUGUUUCUGAAUCACAACUCAAUUGAUUAAAUUAUUCUUUUAGAAUAAUUUAUUCUUAUAAAUUUCACUUAAAUUUAUAGUAGUCAUGCAAAAGAGAGACUGUAAAAACAAUAAGGGACAAAUAGUAAAUAUUGAUUACACCAUAAGAAAAUUGGGAAUCUCCCAUAAAAUAAAUAUUAAGAUAUGUGCAUAUGAGAUUAUUAUAGAACGAACCUGCUAUCAAACCCGAAGCUUGAUCCUAAGCUGAGGUAUGUAUCGUA